AUUGAACGCUGGCGGCAGGCCUAACACAUGCAAGUCGAGCGGAUGAAGGGAGCUUGCUCCCUGAUUUAGCGGCGGACGGGUGAGUAAUGCCUAGGAAUCUGCCUGGUAGUGGGGGACAGCGUUUCGAAAGGAACGCUAAUACCGCAUACGUCCUACGGGAGAAAGUGGGGGAUCUUCGGACCUCACGCUAUCAGAUGAGCCUAGGUCGGAUUAGCUAGUUGGGGAGGUAAAGGCUCACCAAGGCGACGAUCCGUAGCUGGUCUGAGAGGAUGAUCAGUCACACUGGAACUGAGACACGGUCCAGACUCCUACGGGAGGCAGCAGUGGGGAAUAUUGGACAAUGGGCGAAAGCCUGAUCCGGCCAUGCCGCGUGUGUGAAGAAGGUCUUCGGAUUGUAAAGCACUUUAAGUUGGGAGGAAGGGCAGUAAGUUAAUACCUUGCUGUUUUGACGUUACCAACAGAAUAAGCACCGGCUAACUUCGUGCCAGCAGCCGCCGUAA
rnacentral:rRNA from 1 species